rnacentral:lncRNA from 1 species
ACCUAGGGCAUGCACUAAAUGCCAAGUACGCUCCUGUAAUGCACCAGGUACUGGCCCUGCCUCUCCAUACCAGCAAUAUGAAAGUUUCUCUUGGAUGGGGACGUUAAGUUGGAAUACAAUCACAGUUAUGUCACACCAGUAAAAGUGUUAUACUUUGUUAUAAUCUUAGAGUUAAGGCCUCCUAAAUGUAGAAUGCACAUUUAUCUAAGGAGACUAUUAAGCUAGAUAGGGUUAGAAUAAUUAGAAGAACUAGACACCUUUGGACACUGCAGCUCUGUACAUUGUAGAACAACACAGAAACUAUUUUUUAUUUCAUGGCCCAGCGUACACAAUAUCUUUUUUUCAUCCUUUUGGUGCAAUCAGAAAAAAAAAAAAAAAAACUCUCUUCCAGGUCAUUUACUGAGUAUAUUAUUAAAAUGCUUAAAGCUCCUGAAUAUGAUUAAUAAUGACUGAAAUACCACAAAAUUGUUUUCAAAAUUGUAGACAGACCUAUUUCUUGUUGCCUCAGAGUGUCAUACUAAACCUUUGAAGAGCAUUUUCUUUUGUUUUCUUAAUUAUUGCUUAAUACUUGGUUUUACUGUAUUAAGGUCAAAACAAUACCAACAACAAACCUUAAGGUUGUAUUAUAAAACCUUACAACACAAUGUUUGCUGUUUUACACAAUGCAAACAUUUCAGUAAUUUUAAAUUUUGAAGUUGCUGGUAUCAAAAUUUUUUUAUUUGUUUGUUGAAAGUAUUUAAAUAUGCAUGCCUGUUUCUGGAAACGAAAAAUGGUAUAUCAUUAAGUGAUAAGAUCCAAUAACUAAUCCUAUGUUGCUUUUGUAUAUUUUUCUAGUUGGUGUGCCUGUCUAAGAAAGCAUAUAUAAUAAAUGUCAGUUUCUAUUUUUAUAUAAUAAAAUGGCCAUGGGUAACUUCUAGACUAGUGGACAUUUCUAACAUAAUAUCUAUAAUUAUAAUGUUAAUUAAUAAUUAUUAACUUCUGGCAAGAUUGUUUCUAGAAUUAUCUGCCCUAGUAUUGUUAUCUAGUUCCUAAUAGUAGCAAUCAUUUAAAGGAAUUUAAAAAAACAUUUUCUUGCAAAUACUUAUGUGCUACUGGUAUUGAAUAAUUUGUCUUUUGCUCAGUAAAAGUUCUUACGUAUUUAAAAAGGCAUGAGUCUAUAAUAAUUUGCAUACUGUAACAGGGAAUUUUCAGAGAAAAUAAAGACUUUUCAAUGCUUU